UCAAGUUAUUAAGGGUGCAGGGCGGAUGCCUUGGCACUAGGAGCCGAUGAAGGACGUGAUAAGCUGCGAUAAGCUUCGGGGAGUUGCACGUAAACUUUGAUCCGAAGAUUUCCGAAUGAGGAAACUCACUUAGAGUAAUGUCUAAGUAUCGUUAAGUGAAUACAUAGCUUAGCGAGGGGAACCCGGGGAACUGAAACAUCUAAGUACCCGGAGGAAGAGAAAGAAAUUCGAUUCCGUAAGUAGCGGCGAGCGAACGCGGAACAGGCCAAACCAAUGAAGUUUACUUCGUUGGGGUUGCGGACAUACAACAUGGAUGCAAUAUCGUAAAUGAAGAGAGUUGGAAAGCUCCGCCAUAGAAGGUAAUAGCCCUGUAGUUGAAACGAGAAAGCUACUAGUAUGAUCCAGAGUACCACGGGACACGUGAAACCCUGUGGGAAGCAGGAGGGACCAUCCUCCAAGCCUAAAUACUACCUAGUGACCGAUAGCGCAUAGUACCGUGAGGGAAAGGUGAAAAGAACCCCGGGAGGGGAGUGAAAUAGAACCUGAAACCCUGCACUUACAAGCUGUGGGAGCACAUUACUUGUGUGACCGCGUACUUUUUGUAGAACGGGCCAACGAGUUACGUUAAGUAGCAAGGUUAAGCACUUAAGGUGUGGAGCCGUAGCGAAAGCGAGUCUUAAAUGGGCGUCCAGUUACCCGACGUAGACCCGAAACCAGGCGACCUAUCCAUGAGCAGGUUGAAGCGAAAGUAAAAUUUCGUGGAGGACCGAACCCACGAGCGUUGAAAAGCUCGGGGAUGACUUGUGGAUAGCGGUGAAAUUCCAAUCGAGCCCGGAGAUAGCUGGUUCUCCCCGAAAUAGCUUUAGGGCUAGCCUCAAGCGUAGAGAAACGGAGGUAGAGCACUGAAUGUCCUAGGGGGUAUUGCACUUACCGAAGACUAUCAAACUCCGAAUGCCGUAUUCUUUUGCUUGGGAGUCAGACUAUGGGUGAUAAGAUUCAUAGUCAAGAGGGCAACAGCCCAGAUCGUCAGCUAAGGUCCCUAAAUGUAAGUUAAGUGGUAAAGGAUGUGGAAUUGCACAGACAACCAGGAUGUUGGCUUAGAAGCAGCCACUCAUUUAAAGAGUGCGUAAUAGCUCACUGGUCGAGUGAUUCUGCGCCGAAAAUUUCCGGGGCUAAAACUUACUACCGAAGCUACGGCAUCAUUAUGAUGGGUAGGGGAGCUUUCUAUGUGGCUUGAAGCAUGACCGUAAGGACAUGUGGACUGCAUAGAAGUGAGAAUGUUGGCAUGAGUAGCGAGAUGUGGGUGAGAAUCCCACAGGCCGUAAACCCAAGGUUUCCAGGGGAAGGUUCGUCCGCCCUGGGUUAGUCAGGACCUAAGCCGAGGCCGAAAGGCGUAGGUGAUGGACAACAGGUUGAUAUUCCUGUACCACCAAUAACCGUUUGAGAAAUGGGAUGACACAGUAGGAUAAGCUAACCGCACUGUUGGUUAUGUGCGGGCAAGUAUUGAGGCAGUUCCGAUAGGCAAAUCCGUCGGAAUAAUGCUGGGGUACGAUGCGGAGCGAAAUUUAGUAGCGAAGUAGCUGAUUUCACACUGUCGAGAAAAGUCUCUAUCGAGGUUAAAGGUGCCUGUACCGCAAACCGACACAGGUGGGUGAGGAGAGUAUCCUAAGGCCAGCGAGAGAACUGUUGUUAAGGAACUCGGCAAAAUGACCCCGUAACUUAGGGAGAAGGGGUGCCUUCGAAAGAAGGCCGCAGAGAAUAGGCCCAAGCGACUGUUUACCAAAAACAUAGGUUUCUGCUAAGUCGCAAGACGAUGUAUAGGAGCUGACGCCUGCCCGGUGCUGGAAGGUUAAGGGGAUCUGUUAGAGCAAUCGAAGCAGUGAACUUAAGCCCCAGUAAACGGCGGCCGUAACUAUAACGGUCCUAAGGUAGCGAAAUUCCUUGUCGGGUAAGUUCC
rnacentral:rRNA from 1 species